AGCCAUGCACGUCUAGUACAAACUAAAUGAUGGUGAAACUGCAAAUGGCUCAUUACAACGGUUAUGAUGUACCCGGGAGUUCCGAUGGAUAUUUCCAGUAACACUAGAACUUAUACAUGCUCCUGCGUUUAUUAGUUUCGCACAGUCCGUCGCUGAGUCAUGGUAAACAGUUGAUCGACUCGACGUCCCGGAACAGUUUCCGCCCCAUCAGCUUCGAUGGUUGGGUAUUGGCCUACCAUUGCAACAACGGGUAACGAGGAAUUAGGGUUUGAUUUCGGAGAGGGAGCCUGAGAAACGGCUACCACAUCUACGGAUGGCAGCAGGCGCGCAAAUUACCCAAUGCAGACUCUGUGAGGUAGUGACGAGAAAUAAUAAAGCGGGACUUCUGUUUCGCUAUUAUAAUGAGGAAUAACCAAAGGUCAUUCCGAUUAGCAACUGAUGGGAAAGUCUGGUGCCAGCAGCCGCGGUAAUACCAGCGUCAGUAGCAUAUAUUAAAAUUGUUGCAGUUAAAACGUCCGUAGUCUGUACGUCGUCCCAAACUCACUGCAGUCUUCCGUUUUCUUCAUUGAAUGCGGUAGUUUCUGCAGUCACUCCCUUGAUCAAAUUAGGUUGUUCAAGGUAGACCAAGUCUUCAUAUUUUCACAUGGAAUUGGGUGAGGGAACUUAAGAGUUUAAGUUUCUCGUCUUAGGAUCAUCCGGGGUCAUUCGUACUCGUCCGCGAGAGGUGAAAUUCUUGGACCGGACGAAGACGACCAGCAGCGAAAGCAUCUGUCAGGGAUGUUUUCUGCGACAAAGGACGAAGGUCAGGGUAUCGAAGACGAUUAGAUAC
rnacentral:rRNA from 1 species